GGAGGAGUCGCCUAGCUGGUUUAUGGCGCAGAUCUGGAAAGUCUGUAUGACCGCAAGGUCAUCGCGAGUUCGAAUCUCGCCUCCUCCGCCU
rnacentral:tRNA from 6 species